rfam:Thalassobius mediterraneus strain CECT 8383 genome assembly, contig: 0003
CCCCUUUUCAAACCAAGCCGAAGCCACUACAUAGAACCUGUUCCCUCGGGGACUAUGGACAUAAACGCGCUCGUAAUAAGCGGAUCGGACCCGGGGGCGGUACCCGGCGACUCCACCAAACAUCCUUUAUUGGGGGAUCAUGGGGUCGAAACAGGAUCGACGAACGUCUAAAGGGGUUAGCUUUGUCCCGGUGAGAUACCACCGUUAUCGGUUCGCUAAGCAUAAUUGCCAAUAACAAUCGUGCUCCGAUGGCUCUGGCUGCGUAAGCAGUCCGAAAAAUCGACCUUUAAGUCCUUACGCCUAGCAGCCUAAGGCGGGGUCCGCAGGUACCUGGCAACAGAAACCUGCACC